GACGAACGCUGGCGGCGUGCCUAAUACAUGCAAGUAGAACGCACAGUUUAUACCGUAGCUUGCUACACCAUAAACUGUGAGUUGCGAACGGGUGAGUAACGCGUAGGUAACCUGCCUGGUAGCGGGGGAUAACUAUUGGAAACGAUAGCUAAUACCGCAUAAUAUUGAUUAUUGCAUGAUAAUUGAUUGAAAGAUGCUAUUGCAUCACUACCAGAUGGACCUGCGUUGUAUUAGCUAGUAGGUGAGGUAACGGCUCACCUAGGCGACGAUACAUAGCCGACCUGAGAGGGUGGUCGGCCACACUGGGACUGAGACACGGCCCAGACUCCUACGGGAGGCAGCAGUAGGGAAUCUUCGGCAAUGGACGAAAGUCUGACCGAGCAACGCCGCGUGAGUGAAGAAGGUUUUCGGAUCGUAAAGCUCUGUUGUAAGAGAAGAACGGGUGUGAGAGUGGAAAGUUCACACUGUGACGGUAUCUUACCAGAAAGGGACGGCUAACUACGUG
rnacentral:rRNA from 1 species